ACCCUAACCCUCUGGCAUGAGAGUAUCAUGAAGAUUACUCUAGAGGAGCUUGCAGGGUAUAUCCCUCUCCCAGCACCUUAGCCCUGGUAGAGGAGCUACUGGGCUGCUACAGGGCACAGACAUGGGUGAGACUCCAUCAUCAUGCCAUCAAGUAUCCCACAAGCAGACUGAUUCCAGUGUCUUUGGAGCCAACCAACAAACAUGGUGGCAGAAAUUGGAGUAUUUGCCACACAGGUCACUGUCCUGCCAGGUGGUUCCAAGACCAACUGUUCUCUGGCACAGUCAUUUACAGCAUUUGGAAAUUUUAACUCUGUGUCAAGACUGGAAGACGUGUCACCAGUCUUGGUGAGGGCAGGUGAAGUCACCCUUCCCUACAAUAGUUCCUCUUUGGGAUGCUUCCUUGCUUCCAUCAUCAUCAUCAUAAUUGUGAUCAGGGGGACAAUACCACAUCCACUGUACGAAAUUAUUCUUGGUGAUGGGAAUUCUAUGUAUAGUUUUGAUCACUGCUUCCUCAAUAUAUGUGGAUUGGACCUUCAAAUGUGACACCUGCUGCUUUUAAAAUGUGUUUGUUUUAUGCAUGUUGAAUUUCUGUUAAGGGCUAUAGUCUCCUAGAGAAAAGGACAUUGUCUUAAAAGAUUUUAUUUGUUCUUUCUGCACCCCUUCCCUAGUAUUUUAUAAACAAGCAAGUAGAAAGACAUCAAAAGUUUUUUUGGAUUGGAGUCUUUAAAGACAAGGGAAAGAAAUGGUCGUGGCUGUCAGGAACGGAGGCUGCAGUCCACUACUGGAAUUACUAUGAGCCAAAUUAUGAAGCGAACCAUGACUGUGUUGCUGUGUCCUAUGAGUGCUACUAUGAAAAAUGCUGGAUGGCAUUCGAAUGUGAUCUGCAAAUACACUGUAUUUGUAAGAAGGUGCCUAAUGAUACUUGGCUCUAAGAAGACACCUUAAGAUGAACGUUAACUGGAUCCCAUGAUCACUACACAAAACCAAAACCAAGAGAUCACCCCACGGUUUUAAUGCACAAUCCACACCCUGCCACCUAGAUUAUGGGACUCUCUGGCAUCAACCCUCAAACACACAUUGAAAAGACCUUAAUCUGCAAGCUCAAACAUAGAUGGCUACGAAAAUAAAGAAUGGAAGGGUCCAGUCAUA